ensembl:snRNA U2 U2 spliceosomal RNA
AUCGCUUCUCGGCCUUUUGGCUAAGAUCAAGUGUAAAAAAAUUAUUUACAUGACUUUUCUGACUUAGAAAUAAAACCAUUUGAUAUUCAUGGUAAGGAUAGCUAUAUGUAAUUUGCUACAUUUU